rnacentral:rRNA from 1 species
AUUGAACGCUGGCGGCAGGCCUAACACAUGCAAGUCGAGCGGAUGAAGGGAGCUUGCUCCUGGAUUCAGCGGCGGACGGGUGAGUAAUGCCUAGGAAUCUGCCUGGUAGUGGGGGAUAACGUCCGGAAACGGGCGCUAAUACCGCAUACGUCCUGAGGGAGAAAGUGGGGGAUCUUCGGACCUCACGCUAUCAGAUGAGCCUAGGUCGGAUUAGCUAGUUGGUGGGGUAAAGGCCUACCAAGGCGACGAUCCGUAACUGGUCUGAGAGGAUGAUCAGUCAGACUGGGACUGAGACGCGGUCCAGACUCCUACGGGAGGCAGCAGUGGGGAAUAUUGGACGAUGGGCGAAAGCCUGAUCCAGCCAUGCCGCGUGUGUGAAGAAGGUCUUCGGAUUGUAAAGCACUUUAAGUUGGGAGGAAGGGCAGUAAGUUAAUACCUUGCUGUUUUGACGUUACCAACAGAAUAAGCACCGGCUAACUUCGUG